rnacentral:rRNA from 1 species
CUAGCUGGUCUGAGAGGAUGACCAGCCACACUGGAACUGAGACACGGUCCAGACUCCUACGGGAGGCAGCAGUGGGGAAUAUUGCACAAUGGGCGCAAGCCUGAUGCAGCCAUGCCGCGUGUAUGAAGAAGGCCUUCGGGUUGUAAAGUACUUUCAGCGGGGAGGAAGGGAGUAAAGUUAAUACCUUUGCUCAUUGACGUUACCCGCAGAAGAAGCACCGGCUAACUCCGUGCCAGCAGCCGCGGUAAUACGGAGGGUGCAAGCGUUAAUCGGAAUUACUGGGCGUAAAGCGCACGCAGGCGGUUUGUUAAGUCAGAUGUGAAAUCCCCGGGCUCAACCUGGGAACUGCAUCUGA